AUUGCAAUCAUUUUUGGACCAGAAGGAUGCAUCACAACAAAAGCGCUUCGCAGGAUGCCACACUGCAUCUUUUAUUCUCACUAGCAUGUGAAUUUUAAGUUGUUGCUUAGUGAACUAUGGUCUUGCAGGUUUCCUAUAAUAUUAGAGAUACAAAGCUACCUGAAUUUCAUGAGUGCUGGGAAGAUAAACGGCCAGCAAUGAUGGGAGCACCUCAAUGACAUCACGUAGAUUCAGGAUGCAGGCAGACGCUUCCGCGGCACUUCCCCAACGUCCGCUACCAAAAUAGCAGGAUUAGCAGUAUACACAGGUUUUCAUUGCCAGCUACGCCCAGCGGGCACAUGCGGUGGUCCGCAUCUCAGUUUAGCUACUUUUUGAGUUUUGUCUAGUGCUAAGUACAGUACGCCAGUUUGCAAACUUACUGCUAUACAGUAUACACAUUCAGAUGUCACUAUCCACAUUCAGAUUUCUAGUUUGUAAUCAUACACACUUAUGUAGACAAUUAGCUAGCUCAUCCGGACAUACAAGCUCAUGCAGACACAUUCAAAAUAUGUAGACAUUCAGACCAAAGUGAUAUAUCAUCUUCAUAUUCUGAAACCUAAGUCAUAAUUUCUUUGUACAGAAUAAUAGCUUGUAGUAAAUAAAUGCAGUAGAUGUGCAUGCACUAUUCCUUCAAAAAUUCAGAAUAUCCAGGUUAUCAGUAUUACUCUUCAUGUAGUACCACUACCAUCUGGGACAUUGCACUAGAUAAACAACCUAGCUUCGUUCUUCUCAUGACCAUCAUAUAUAGUUAAACAAGACUUCACAGAUGAUUAAUGAAGUCUAGGGAUAAGCGAAGAACAAUGUGCUAGGAACUUAUAUUAGCGAUCAUGUGCCACAACUUAGAAUCUGAAGUUUUUGUUUGAUAUUUGCAAGCGUUAGUAGAAGUUCUUACAUCUGAAUUAUUCUUUCUAAAAUCGCCCGAGAAGACAGCACCUCUUGCCUGAUGGUGUGACAUGCGUACCCAUUCAGUUGAGAUCAUUAGUCGAAGCACUUGACUAGAUUCCAAUGGUCUAUGUAUAUCAAGCAACCACUUACUACCGGCAGCUAUAGUUUCUCUGAGCACAAACUGCUCAGUAUUAAAUCAAGUAAUUAAGAUUCCAGUUUCAUUUGCUUGUUUUCAGGUACAAAACAGACACAGGUUCAGAGUUCUAACAUUUUCUUACAACAUGCUCGUCAAGAACUUGUUUAUUAUUCAAAGUAGUAUACUUUAACUGUUUGUAUUUUCUUCAUUGCUAGGAGAAGAUGAAGAGUAUGCACUUUAUUAUGGCGACAACUGGCAGGAACUAUCUUCAGGAUAUGGAGUUAUGGAUGCCAAGAGAUACCGAUCAGUUUGGUUCGAGUUAAUGAAGAUUGAACAUGUCAAUCUAGAUGCUCAUGCAACGAAGCUUUGAUAUGUUUUAUGUACAAAGCACAUGUUCUCGUUAAACACAUGUGUACAAGCUGAAGAUCAGCAAUGCCAUUCUAAUGUGCAAUACUUGGAACAAAGCAUAUCUAUAUACAGUAUCAUGUAUUCCUUGGAUGGUGCUCUUUGUAAAGCAACAUUAUUGAUUAAAUAUAUGAGAUCUUUUUU